rnacentral:rRNA from 1 species
CCUACGGGAGGCAGCAGUGGGGGAUAUUGCACAAUGGGGGAAACCCUGAUGCAGCGACGCCGCGUGUGGGAAGACGGUCUUCUGGAUUGUAAACCACUGUCCCCAGGGACGAAAAUGACGGUACCUGGGGAGGAAGCUCCGGCUAACGACGUGACAGCAGCAGCGGUAAUACGUAGGCAGCAAGCGUUGUCCGGAAUUACUGGGUGUAAAGGGAGCGUAGGCGGGGAUGCAAGUUGGGUGUCAAAACUACCGGCUCAACCGAUAGUCGCACUCAAAACUGACGGUCUUGAGUGAAGUAGAGGCAGGCGGAAGUCCUAGUGUAGCGGUGAAAUGCGUAGAUAUUAGGAGGAACACCAGUGGCGAAGGCGGCCUGCUGGGCUUUUACUGACGCUGAGGCUCGAAAGUGUGCGGAGCAAACAGGAUUAGAUACCCCAGUAGUC